rnacentral:rRNA from 1 species
CCAAUAAUGCUCUAAAAGCAUCAAAUGCUAUCUGAUCUUGAAAGUUAAGCAGGGUCACAUUUGAUUAGUACUUGGUUGGGAUACUCCAAGUGAAUGCCAGUUUUGGU